AACGAACGCUGGCGGCAUGCCUAACACAUGCCAGUCGAACGAGACCUUCGGGUCUAGUGGCGCACGGGUGCGUAACGCGUGGGAACCUGCCCUUAGGUUCGGAAUAACUCCCCGAAAGGGGUGCUAAUACCGGGUAAUGUCUUCGGACCAAAGAUUUAUCGCCUUUGGAUGGGCCCGCGUUGGAUUAGCUAGUUGGUAGGGUAAAAGCCUACCAAGGCGACGAUCCAUAGCUGGUCUGAGAGGAUGAUCAGCCACACUGGGACUGAGACACGGCCCAGACUCCUACGGGAGGCAGCAGUGGGGAAUAUUGGACAAUGGGCGAAAGACUGAUCCAGCAAUGCCGCGUGAGUGAUGAAGGCCUUAGGGUUGUAAAGCUCUUUUACCCGGGAUGAUAAUGACAGUACCGGGAGAAUAAGCUCCGGCUAACUCCGUG
rnacentral:rRNA from 1 species